GUCCAAGGUGAUUCCCUCUCCAAAGGGCAACUUGGAAGAAAGCCAGGCAUGCCCAAGGUCUCUGGUGAACAAGAAAUACUGGUUUCCUUUGUCUUCCUUUGACUGCCUACAUGU